rnacentral:siRNA from 1 species
CCAAAACUUCAACGGGCAAAGAUG